UACGUAGGGCGCAAGCGUUGUCCGGAAUCAUUGGGCGUAAAGAGCUCGUAGGCGGUCUGUCACGUCGGCUGUGAAAUCCCGAGGCUCAACCUCGGGUCUGCAGUCGAUACGGGCAAACUAGAGUAUUGCAGGGAGACUGGAAUUCCUGGUGUAGCGGUGAAAUGCGCAGAUAUCAGGAGGAACACCGGUGGCGAAGGCGGGUCUCUGGGCAAUAACUGACGCUGAGGAGCGAAAGCGUGGGAGCGAACAGG
rnacentral:rRNA from 1 species